CAGUCGCCGCGGUAAUACGUAGGUGGCAAGCGUUAUCCGGAAUUAUUGGGCGUAAAGCGCGCGUAGGCGGUUUUUUAAGUCUGAUGUGAAAGCCCACGGCUCAACCGUGGAGGGUCAUUGGAAACUGGAAAACUUGAGUGCAGAAGAGGAGAGUGGAAUUCCACGUGUAGCUGUGAAAUGCGUAGAGAUGUGGAGGAACACCAGUGGCGAAGGCGACUCUCUGGUCUGUAACUGACGCUGAGGAGCGAAAGCGUGGGGAGCGAACAGGAUUAGAGACCCGUGUAGUCCCUGUCUCUUAUAC
rnacentral:rRNA from 1 species